rnacentral:lncRNA from 1 species
AAAAUCUUCUCACUUCCGUUGUAUUUGUACAUUCUUUCAUCUUUUUAAUAAUAUCAAUCUUUUCUAUACUUGGCUUACGUCCAUAUGAACCACAUAUGUGUCCUACCACCAAAAUUUCUUUUACUCCAAACAUUGAUUUUGUCCCCAAUAAGGUUAAAUGAACUUCUUCCAAUCUUUUCAAAAUCUUCUCACAAUCUUC